AUUUAGCCACUAUUAUAAAUAUAUCAUGAUUUGGUGCAGCAAAUGAGAGGGAGUAUGGGUGUAUUUUUUUGGGACUAAGAUUUUAUGAGAGAGGCAUAUUUUGUACACCACUUUGAUUAUAAUAAAGAUCUCUACAUCGUCUUCGCCUGUAGAUAUAGGCCAGUGGCCGAACUACGUAAAUAUUUGUAUCCUUUAUUUUUCUCCUCUCUUUCUCGAUUCUCUUUUGGUUUUCAUACCCAACAAACCAGAUUUUUUCCGCUUUUGUCAUAACAAACUGGUAUCAGAGAAAAUAUGGUAUCAAUAUAAGUUGCGGAUUCUGAACAAACUGGUAUCAGAGAAAAUCUGGUAUCAGUGUAAGCUGUAGAUUUUUAACACUCGAAAAAUAAAAAAAAAGCCAGUAUCGAUGAGCGAUAAAAAUUGGAAGGAGAUUGAUCUGCAAUUUGGUAGAUGAGAUAUGUACAAUGUAAUAAAGGAGAAAACUACAA
rnacentral:lncRNA from 1 species